rnacentral:rRNA from 1 species
CCCUUAGAUGUUCGGGGCCGCACGCGCGCUACACUGAAGGAAUCAGCACGUCUUUCUCCUUGUCCGAAAGGACUGGGUAACCCGCUGAACCUCCUUCGUGCUAGGGAUUGGGGCUUGUAAUUCUUCCCCAUUAACGAGGAAUUCCCAGUAAGCGCGAGUCAUAAGCUCGCGUUGAUUACGUCCCUGCCCUUUGUACACACCGCCCGUCGCUACUACCGAUUGGAUGGUUUAGUGAGAUCCUCGGAUUGGUCCCGGCGCGGCCUCUGGUCGUGCCGGAGUGCCGAAAAGAAUGUCGAACUUGAUCAUCUAGAGGAAGUAAAAGUCGUAACA